rnacentral:rRNA from 1 species
CCUACGGGAGGCAGCAGUGGGGAAUAUUGCACAAUGGGGGAAACCCUGAUGCAGCAACGCCGCGUGAAGGAAGACGGUUUUCGGAUUGUAAACUUCUAUCAAUAGGGAAGAAAGAAAUGACGGUACCUAAAUAAGAAGCCCCGGCUAACUACGUGCCAGCAGCCGCGGUAAUACGUAGGGGGCAAGCGUGAUCCGGAAUUACUGGGUGUACAGGGAGAGUAGGCGGCAAGGUAAGCGAUAUGUGAAAGCCUUAAGCUUAACUUAAGGAUGGCAUAACGAACUAUCUAGCUAGAGUACAGGAGAGGAAAGCGGAAUUCCUGGUGUAGCGGUGAAAUGCGUAGAGAUUAGGAAGAACACCAGUGGCGAAGGCGGCUUUCUGGACUGAAACUGACGCUGAGGCACGAAGGCGUGGGGAGCAAACAGGAUUAGAUACCCGAGUAGUC